rnacentral:lncRNA from 1 species
AUGGUUCUUUAUAUAGAGAAACAGUCUGCAGACAAAGCAGAUGACCAGGUGACGAUCCACCGGAAGGAGGGACAACCACCCGGCCAUCCACCGGCAGGGUUCUUGGAGGCCGAGUGUGCAGGCUUCGUGGAAUAUCUGGGGGUUACUGGAAAGCGCGUCGUACUUUUGGGACAGACUCCGCGGAGUUCUGUAACUUUUGCACUCUUCCAUUUGAUGAAGAAGGCAAUGCAGCUCCACAGACGCGAAAGGACACCUACACCCAGUGCCUUGAAACCAGCAACCGAACCACCCGCUGCCAGGCUCACGCCCGUCGGGUCCGUGCAGCACCCCGCGGGCUCCCGCCCAGGCCGGCGCGGGAAUCGCGGCCGCCGCGCCCGGACGCCUCGCGCACCCAGCAGGACGGCCGCUCUGCCGUCCGCCUCGGGGACCCGCUUUCGUUCUGGAAACCCGGCGCAGGUCGGGCCCGCCGUGACCGCCCCCACAGCAACCAAGUCCCGGCACCCCAAGCCAAGAUCAGGCCUUGCCGUGUGGGCCUGUUCCUCAGUUUCCCCAGGCGCCUCUUUCCCAGCUACGGGAGCUGCCCGGUGAAAAGUCCGCGACCUCGUUAAUGCCAGAAAGAACGAGCCUCUUUUCCGCGGACUCCGCGCACCGACGGGCCCCUCCCACGCUGGAGUCCCCGGGGGGCGCGCAGGCCCGAGCCGGGUCGCCCCAGAGUCGCGCGCGUCCGUCCCGACCCCGGGCGCGCACCCCGGCCUCAGCCCGGCGCCGACCCCCGCACUCACCCGGGCGCGGCCCUCCUGCACGGCGGCCAGCACUCGCAGGGCGCUGGGAGAGCCCGCGCGGAAGUUGAGGAAGUGCAGCGCCGCGCGCGCCGCCUGCCGCAGGAGCCCGUGCGGAGGCCCCGUGUCCGGGCGCCACUCCGCGGCCUCGGGCCCCGCGGGCGCCGCCGCCCCCUGGACGGCGAGCAGCAGCAGCGGCAGCGCGAGCAGCGGCGCGGCGGGGCGCGGGGGCCCGGGCGCGGGCGGCGGGGGCCGGCGGGGCUGCAUGGACGCGGCCGGCCGGCGCGGCGCUCGACGGACCCGGCGCGGAGCAGGCGGCGGGGACGUUCGAGGAAAUCAGCCUGGCGGACUCCUUCGCCCCGCCCCGCUUGCCCGCCCAGGCCCCCCGCCCCACCCCGCCCCGCCCCCGCCACCCCCUCCCGCCUGGGCGCCCCCGCCCCCUCCGCCCGGGCCCCCUUCGCUCUGCCCCUGCCCCCCCGCGCGGUGCCCGGACGCGGCGGCGCCUCCGCGGCGCGGGGUCGGGGGUGUCUGGCCCGGACGCGCAGGCAGGGCGACAAGUGGGCAGCGCAGCCUGCCCGGCGCCGCUCCGCGCCUCCCCCGCCCCGCUCGGGGACCCCGGCUUCUCCCCGCUGCGGUCGGUCGCGGCGAUUUCGCAACCCUUCGGGUUUUCGAGUUCAGUUCCCCAAGGCUGAGAGCAGUGAUUUCCCAGAAGAUGAAAGAGGGGGUGUGUGGAGAAGGGGGCGGGACGCGGCCGGAAUGGAUGGGGGUCGCUGCGGCGCCAUGACCCUGGAUGUGGUAGAGAUCGCGGGAGAGCUGGGGCUGGAGAGGAGGCUGAAGUGGUCAGCAGGGCAGAGUCCGAUGAGGACCGACAUGCCCACUGCACUUGGAAGCCAGUAGGUCGCGGGGACCCUGGGGCGCGGGGACUUGAAGGCCCACAGGGCGAGGCCGGACGGGGCUUCAGGGCAGUGCCUGCUGCAAGUGUUGACACCUCUGUCCAGACACACGGCAGUGAAGGGUGGAGAUGGGCCUUGUUUUCGAGCCACAGACAGGCGCGAAGGCCCAGGAGAAGGAUGCGUUAGAGGGUGGGCCUGGCACAGCGAGGCGCGCCCGGCAUCCUCUUCUCCGUCUCUCCGUUUUGUUCGGGGCACCACCCCCCCCAAGGCGCUGACCUCAGGCUGCCGUGGGGCUAAAGAGGAGCCGUCUCUGAAAACACCCUCCCCGGCACUUCUUCUGAUGCUGUCCAUCUCUCGUUUGUCUUUCUUUUCUUCGGCGGAUAUUUUUGGGACAUCUGUGCUGCUAGGCCCUUGGGAAAAUGAGGGGGAACAGUCAGGUCAGCAUCUCUGUCCUCUUCCAGGCAGGUGGGGCCCAGACGAUCAAAGAGGCCAGGGGAUGUGCCCUGUGUUGGACGCAGUUACAGGCUGUGGAGAAAAAUUAAGCCCCAAAGGGGAUGGGGAAUUCGGAGGUGGUUCUAAAUUAAAGUGUGUCAGGGCGGGCCUCACUAGGAAAGUGCCGAUUGAAUAAGGACCUGAAGAAAGUCAGGGAGCCAGGCAGACAUGUAUGGAAAGAGCACUGUGGGGAGAGGCUCCCAGCAAGUGGAGAAGACCAAGCAAGUGCAGCUGGGGGGAGAGAGAGGGGCGAGAAGUCAGAAGGAGACGGAUAGGCAGGGCAGGCAAGACUCCAUAGACGCCUGCCAUUCUGGAUGUGCCACCUGGAAGUGCAGCCUGAGGACAAGCCUCUCAGAGAAGGCUGAGCACAGAGAGGGGAGGGGUGUGAGCUCCCGUGCCCUUGUUGAGCGCCUGCGCCACUGACCCUGGAGCUCCUGUCCACUGUUUAAGUCCACUCACGCUGGCAUUUCUGUUUCUUGCCUUCAGAGGCAGCCUAACACAGAUAAUUCUCUCUCCGGAACCCAAUCAUCUCCCCCUUCAAGGGGUUUUAGUUGCAGGCUUCUUGAGAAUUUAUCGCCCCCAGGUCUUACAAAGAUUAAAUUUUCCUUGUUUUAUUUCAGCACUUUGUCCCCAGUGGGUGUUAGGCUGCUUUCACUGCAGGUAACCGGGAAACUGAUUAACGUUCUGAACUAUUCAAUGGUCUGGAGUGGGAGGUCUCAGGAAUGGCUUGGUGACCCAAUGGUUUUUGGAAGGGUUCAGGCCCUCUCCAUCCUUCUGCAGAGCUGUCCUCAGCUGGUUGGCUUUUUGUGUCUAGACUUGUAGCUUCAUGAUUAUAGGAUAGCUGCCACAGCUCCAGACAUCACAUCUUCCACAUGCUGCAACCAAAAGCAGGUAGCAGGGACUAGGUUGCCAGGGUGGCAAGAGAGCUGUAUGUCAUGCAGCUGUCUGUUUGGUUUUUACUGGGGAAGAGAAAUCUUUUCCAGAACCUCUUCGCCCUCCCUUCUCCCCACCAGACCUUCUCUUAUAUCUCAUUGGCCAGAACUGGAUCACACUGGCAAACGCUAGCUGCAAGGGAGGCUGGGAAAAGCAAGCAUCUGCCUUUUUUCAGUAUCUAUAGCCGUGAUCUGGUCUAUAAAUUAGGAUUAAGUUUGGCUGCAUGGAACAAAAACCCCAUGACACUGGCUUAAACAAGAGAGGAACUUAAUUCUCGAGGAAGAGAAGCUGGGGUGGGGGUGGGGUGUUAGGUAAUCUGCGGUUGGUAUCGGCAGGUCCAUGAAGUUGUCAGGAGUUUCCAGAUCUUUGCUCCCACAUCCCAAGGGUGUGCCCGCGUCCUCAGCGUCCAAGAUGAGCUCUAGCCCUCAGCAGAGCUCCCUGUCUGGACUUCCUAGAAGUUCCACAGGGCACUUCUGCUUCUGCCUCAUUGGCAAGAACGAGUCACCAUCUUAGUUGCAAAGGAGGCUGGGAAAUGUAGUCCUUACUCAGGGAGGCCAUGUGACAGAAUGAAAGUCAGGAUUUUGUUACUGAGGAAGAAGAUCCUGUCUUACGUUGGGUGUGUCAGAGGCAGGCCUUGAGACAAGGAUUGUGUGCAAGUGGUUUAUGAAGCGAGCGCUCCCAGGAGAAACCAGUAAGGACCUAGAAGGAGGGCAGCGAGCAAGGGUCUAAAAGUUCCCUAAAGGGUCACUUUACCCGAUCUGCAGGGGAGCUCCGGAGGUAAGUUACACCUCUGUUGUCCCCACCCAGGCGGGGGACUUGUGCUGCCAUAUUCUAUGCCUGUCGGUCAUUGACUGGGGCUGCGCUGGUCACACAGCCCAGGCACUUGGGACUCUCUGUAUGGGGGCACAGAGGGGUGGCAGAGGCACAGCCCUCCUGAAAAGAGUCACAGGGCCCCCCGGGGGGAGCAAAAGCGCCCCCGUGGUAGGGGCAGGGUCCCAAGGGGCUCCCAGGGGUCCUUGCAGGGAGAGCAGGUGCCAGGAGGUAACAUCUCUGUCUCUGAGGCCAGGAGGGGGGGUGGGAAUGGUGAAGGCGCCAUGGGUGCUUCCGAGAUGCUGAGGACCACAGAACUCAUAGACGGGCGACAGACACACGGGAGACCAGACGACUCUGCCAGGGCUGUUGUUUGUAGUGUGAUAAUAACUGCGAUUGGGGCAGAUUGAUGUUGAUCAACAUUUAAAGCAUUUUGAGUUGCAGCAUUAAUUUGAUAAACAGAUUUUGUGGAACACAGGAGAGUAUUUCCUUUGCUGAGAACUGUCUUCAUGUCCUUUGUCCAUUUGUCUGUGGGACUGUUGGAUUUCUAAUUCACUUGUAGAAGCUAUUUAUUUAUUUACUUAGGUUUCCAGCGGUCUCGGCCCCCGGCCUCCGUGCAGAGUAGAUGUGUCCCACCAAGAGUGUCCCGUAUGUGAGUUUCCUCGUCCCUCAGUCACCGCCCAGGGUAUCCUGGGCAUUUUCCUAAAAAGAACUGGGUUCGUGUUUAAGAAACGUAAUGGUAUAUAAAACUAUAAUGACAUGAAAAGAUGUUCAGUACAGAGAGGAAGAGAGUAAAUUGAUAGAGACUUUUUGUUGGGCUGUUUGCAGCAUCUGUCAAAAUCAGCAGUGCGCGCACCUUUGACCCAGUAACUUCACCUCUAGAAUUUACAGUGAUGAUAAAUUCACACAUGUACACAAAGAAGUGUGUAUGGGAACGUUCAUCUCCACAUGCAGAUUGUAAACGCCUCAAAUGUCCUAUUUGCUGCUGUCUCUCCCUACAACAGUGCCUGGCACACCAUAGGCACCAAUACAUAUUUUAUUGAAAGAAUAAAGACUAAAAGGCAUGAAAAAAAUCUAAGUUC